ACGAACGCUGGCGGCGUGCCUAAUACAUGCCAGUAGAACGCACAGUUUAUACCGUAGCUUGCUACACCGUAGACUGUGAGUUGCGAACGGGUGAGUAACGCGUAGGUAACCUGCCUGGUAGCGGGGGAUAACUAUUGGAAACGAUAGCUAAUACCGCAUAAUAUUGAUUAUUGCAUGAUAAUUGAUUGAAAGAUGCUAUUGCAUCACUACCAGAUGGACCUGCGUUGUAUUAGCUAGUAGGUGAGGUAACGGCUCACCUAGGCGACGAUACAUAGCCGACCUGAGAGGGUGAUCGGCCACACUGGGACUGAGACACGGCCCAGACUCCUACGGGAGGCAGCAGUAGGGAAUCUUCGGCAAUGGACGAAAGUCUGACCGAGCAACGCCGCGUGAGUGAAGAAGGUUUUCGGAUCGUAAAGCUCUGUUGUAAGAGAAGAACGGGUGUGAGAGUGGAAAGUUCACACUGUGACGGUAUCUUACCAGAAAGGGACGGCUAACUACGUG
rnacentral:rRNA from 1 species